GAAGCGGGCCUGGAGCGCGCCUGCGUGGGGGUGGAGCGGGACGAAGAUGGCCUGCGGACGGAGGAGCGGGACCGAACCGUUCUGGCGCGGCGCCCACCUCGCGGGGCGGGAAACCCGGCCGUCGGAUCGCUUGGGCUUCUCUGAGUAAAUGAGAGGAGAAGACUAAGACCACCUCUACAAAUCCGACCUCUAAGCGGGGAGCAGUCGGGAAGCCGGUCACAGCCGCUUCUGGAGGUGCAGGAGGUCUCUCUGCCUUCACUGCAGGGAAAUAGAAGGUCCCUCAUCUGUCCCCAGAAGAGCACCUUAUAUCAGCAAGCGGACCCCUGGCACCUGCCAUUGCAGCUUCCAUUGUGCAGCCACAUGUCCCCACCACGACUACCUAGCUCCAAUGUCACAUGGCCUGCAAAAAGGAUCUACCAUUGGAGCCAAAGCUCACCCCACUGGAGCACUAAUGUUGAGCAAAUUGGCUUUCGAAUCAUUCGUUUUCUUCACCAGGAGGGACAAGCUAUCAAUAGACACCUGGGACACGAUUCAGUCUGUUGUAACUGCAACCCUGAGCCAGAAGGAGCGUGCAGAGAACUUCCCUCCCUAGCUCCAUUUCUACACAAACGAUUUACUGUAACUCUUCUACAGUGCUUACACAACAAAUAAAGGUAGCACCGGAGACCGUG
rnacentral:lncRNA from 1 species